CAAAGUAUAGCUUAGAUAAAAGCAUCUAGUUUACACCCAGAA
rnacentral:tRNA from 1 species